rnacentral:rRNA from 1 species
AACGAACGCUGGCGGCAUGGCUAAGACAUGCAAGUCGUACGGAACUCGUAGCAAUACGAGUUUAGUGGCGGAAGGGUGAGUAAUAAAUGGGUAACGUACCUUGAACUUGGGAACAACAGUUCGAAAGGACUGCUAAUGCCCAAUGAAGUCGCUGAAUCGCAUGGUUCGACGACCAAAGCCGGGGGAUCGCAAGACCUGGCGGCUUUUGAGCGGCCCAUUUCCUAUCAGCUAGUUGGGAGGUAACGGCUCACCAAGGCUUUGACGGGUAGCCGGACUGAGAGGUCGGCCGGCCACAUCGGGACUGAGACACUGCCCGGACACCUACGGGUGGCUGCAGUAACGAAUAUUGGGCAAUGGGCGCAAGCCUGACCCAGCAAUGCCGCGUGCAGGAUGAA